ACGGGUGCGUAACGGGAGGCGUCUACCUUUUACAGAGGGAUAGCCCAGAGAAAUUUGGAUUAAUACCUCAUAGUAUUACGACUCGGCAUCGAGAUGUAAUUAAAGUCACAACGGUAAAAGAUGAGCAUGCGUCCCAUUAGCUAGUUGGUAAGGUAACGGCUUACCAAGGCUACGAUGGGUAGGGGUCCUGAGAGGGAGAUCCCCCACACUGGUACUGAGACACGGACCAGACUCCUACGGGAGGCAGCAGUGAGGAAUAUUGGACAAUGGGCGCAAGCCUGAUCCAGCCAUGCCGCGUGCAGGAUGACGGUCCUAUGGAUUGUAAACUGCUUUUAUACAGGAAGAAACACCUCUACGUGUAGAGACUUGACGGUACUGUAAGAAUAAGGAUCGGCUAACUCCGUGCCAGCAGCCGCGGUAAUACGGAGGAUCCAAGCGUUAUCCGGAAUCAUUGGGUUUAAAGGGUCCGUAGGCGGUUUAGUAAGUCAGUGGUGAAAGCCCAUCGCUCAACGGUGGAACGGCCAUUGAUACUGCUAGACUUGAAUUAUUAGGAAGUAACUAGAAUAUGUAGUGUAGCGGUGAAAUGCUUAGAGAUUACAUGGAAUACCAAUUGCGAAGCAGGUUACUACUAAUGGAUUGACGCUGAUGACGAAAGCGUGGUAGCGAACAGGAUUAGAUACCCUGUAGUCCACGCCGUAACGAUGAUACUAGCUGUGGGAGCAUCUCAUGGCUAAGCGAAGUGAUAGUAUCAACUCGGGCCGCAAGGUUAAACUCAAAUGAAUUUGACGGGGGG
rnacentral:rRNA from 1 species